rnacentral:rRNA from 1 species
UACGUAGGGGGCAAGCGUUGUCCGGAUUUAUUGGGCGUAAAGAGCGUGUAGGCGGCCACGUAGGUCCGUUGUGAAAACUCGAGGCUCAACCUCGAGACGCCGAUGGAAACCAUGUGGCUAGAGUCCGGAAGAGGAGAGUGGAAUUCCUGGUGUAGCGGUGAAAUACGCAGAUAUCAGGAAGAACACCCGUGGCUAAGGCGGCUCUCUAGUACGGUACUGACGCUGAGACGCGAAAGCGUGGGGAGCGAACAGG